UGGGGAAUUGUUCGCAAUGGGCGCAAGCCUGACGACGCAACGCCGCGUGGAGGAUGAAGGUCUUCGGAUUGUAAACUCCUGUUGCCCGGGACGAACCGCUCCGACCUAACACGUCGGAGUCUGACGGUACCGGGUGAGGAAGCCCCGGCUAACUCUGUGCCAGCAGCCGCGGUAAAACGUAGGAGGCGAGCGUUAUCCGGAUUCACUGGGCGUAAAGCGCGUGCAGGUGGCGCGGUAAGUUGGGCGUGAAAUCUCCCGGCUCAACUGGGAGAGGUCGUCCAAUACUACCGUGCUUGAGGAAGGUAGAGGUGAGCGGAACUGAUGGUGGAGCGGUGAAAUGCGUUGAUAUCAUCAGGAACACCGGAGGCGAAGGCGGCUCACUGGGCCUUUUCUGACGCUGAGGGACGAAAGCUAGGGUAGCGAACGGGAUUAGAUACCCCGGUAGUCCUAGCUGUAAACGAUGAGCACUAGGUCGCAAGGCUGAAACUCAAAGGAAUUGAC
rnacentral:rRNA from 1 species